rnacentral:lncRNA from 1 species
CCCAAUUUAUGUGUAUUUUUUGCAUAAUGUUUAUGAACACUAUUAGACUAGUUUAAUCACACAAUCCCUGUGGAUCGAUAUUUUAUUACUAUGUGGUAAUUCGUUCACUUGCGAAAAUUAUCCAUCAUUGGUGUAGAUAGAUCUGGAUCGGGUUUAACGGAAAGAGGUUUGUUUGUUCUCAGGUGGUGAUUCUUUUUUGGCUGGAAACCUUUUUUAAUUGAUUUGAGUAGAUGAUAUGAGGUUGAGAAUGAAAAUGGCGGAGCAAGGUUGGGUUGUUUGUUAGAUUAAAAAUGUUAAAACUUGGAAGAUAAUAGUCGUAUGUUGCAACACUUUUUUUUUUAAUUGCAAUUUCACGUUCUUUGAGAAAUUAGAGUCAUUGUGUUGUGUUUAUAAGAAUAAAAAGAUAACAAUGAAAAGAACCAGAGAAAGACUAAAUGAGAAGAUUGAGGAGGGCCGAGGAGGAGCAGUGACCAGUAACGGCGGUGAUGCGAUUAUGU